UAUAAAUAAGAAAGAAGGAGAUCAACAAGAAAUUUUAUAAUCUAUAUUGAAUGUUUCAUGCUUAAUACAGAUGUAAGUGGAUCAUUGAACAGUUCCAACCAAUAAAUUAAACUAGCCCUAUAUGCCAUUGAUAAUGUCUUGCAACAAAUCCUUGGUUUGUUGAAUUUCAAGUUUUUCACCAUCUCUGUCCUGAACAAUAUGGAGAUAACAGUUAAAUAAUUGAAGUGAAUAUUAUAUCAUGGUUAAGAUUUGGAAGGUACAUGUGGAAUAUUUACAGAUGAACCGAAGUUCAUCCUCAUAUGCUGAAAUCAUAUUCAUUGAAAAUAAAAAUAAGCAAGUUUGCCAUCUUAUCUUAUCACCUGUAUACAGCUUGAAAUAAGAAAUGCUCCUUUUGUGGUUGUGAGAUUGGUGUCUAUGAGUUCAAUGCUGAAAUUAUUGAGAGCUUCCAUCAAUUUUCUGAAUCUUCCUUUUCUCUUCUCAAUGAUGAUCUUAACCCAGAGUUUAUUUCCGUCUAUUUGUGCCACCCUAACUUCUUCCUGCAGAGAAACCAGCACAACAACAUUAACAAUUAAUAGUUGCAUAGAUUAUUCAUUUUUUUUUCAACCAACUAGUGUAUGACCUGUAUUCCCAAAUCCUUCAUAUCUUGUGCAGCAUCAAUUUCAUCUGUUGUGUUUCCUGUUUCCUCUGAAGUUGUUUCCAUUUGGUGAAGCUCUUGACUGAGACUCUGGACUUUGUCUUGAAGCUUCUCAAUGUAGGUGAUAGCAUCUUCAAUAAUUGUGGCUUUGUUCAUCUAAAACCAAAAUUAAAGUUUAUAAUCAUGUUACAUUGCAUCCCUAGAAUUGAAUGAAGAAUCAGAUAAAGAAGAAGAAUCAUAUAAGAAAGUGAAGAGUGUAGAUAAUUACAUUUGUGAUGAUAGGCACUAUAGCACGAAGCAUCAAGAGUCUGCUACUGAGCUUCUCCCUCCUCCUUCUUUCCGUUUCUAGGUUCUUUGAUUUGAACUCUCUGGUGCCAUCAUCAUAGUUUCUCUUCCGACCUAUCCCUUGCUUGCUAGAACCAUUUUCAGUAGCAAGAGAAAACUCUUCCAUAGUUACACAUAACCAAUCCUCAUCUUCAUACUCCAUUUGUGAGGGUGCAGGAUGGGUUUUGGGGAAAGGGAUGUGUAAACUGAGCAUGGUUGGUGGCUAUAUAAGUGGUUUUCAUAGAGGCAUCAUGUCAGAGAAACAGAAGAGAUAGAAAGUACAUUGAUGCAUGUUUUGAGGGUCUUCUUUCUGUGUGGUCCCAAGUUAGUUCUGCUUGAAAAUGCCACUACAAAUCACAUUGAAGGUGUUCGUAAUUUUUUUCCAUUGAUUAUAGUCUGAUAAAGGUCUCAAAAGAAAAACAUAUUAUCUAAUGAGAUUGGUAAAUUUACCUCAGAGACAUUUUCUCCUUAUUUGUACUCCGGUUGAAUCCAAAUGCUGCAAUUGGGUUUAAAAUAAAUAAAUGUUAUGUUCUACCAAAGAGAAAAUAAAUCUGGGUAUGUU
rnacentral:sRNA from 1 species